rnacentral:lncRNA from 1 species
CCUUUGUCCUAGCUAAAUGUGAUGCGACCAUCAGGAUCUUCACGGUGGAGCUGGGAAUCCUCAAUCUGAGCCUCUGGGAGCUGGGGUGAAACAGCAUCAGAGGGGCUGAGAUGGGGAAGGGAAUGGGAAUAACGUGUAUCCAAUGGGAAUAACGUGAUCCAAUGGGAAUAACGUGAUCCAAUGGGAAUAACACAGAGCAGAAAGCACUUGGUAUUCCAGAUGAUGGGAUAACAAAGGAUGAGGGGCAGGAGUAAAUCCCUGUUGUUCUCCUUCCAUCCCAGGUGAGCAGCACACAAAGAUAGGUGGGUUCCACCUCCCUUAUCCCAGCACUGGGAUUUAGGGAAUUCCAGAGGCUCUUCCAUCCAUCCCAUUGUGUUUCCCAUCUCCUUCCCUAGGGGAACUCACUGCAGACAUCAAGGAAUGCGGCCGGAAGCUCCGGAAACAGGCUGCUGAGCUCGGUAAGGAAUUCCCUGCCCUCAACAUGGACAUUCCCAGGUGUUCCCAAUGGGAAUUCCCAGCCUGGUUGGGUUGAGGAUGGGUGCAAACAGUGGGAUAAGGGGGUGAUGGAUGGAUGGGACUGUGGGGGAUCCUAUAGGGGAUGGUGGGAUGGAUGGAAGGAUAUGGACCAGGAUGUAUGGUUACAUGGUGGGAUAUAGGAUGGGAUACAUGGUUCUAUGAUGGGAUGUAUCACAGGAUAUUGGAUUAGAUGGUGGGAUAUAGGAUGGGAUACAUGAUUCGAUGAUGGGAUGUAUCACAGGAUAUUGGAUUAGAUGGUGGGAUAUAGGAUGGGAUACAUGGUUCUAUGAUGGGAUGUAUAACAGGAUAUUGGAUUAGAUGGUAGGAUAUAGGGAUACAUGAUUCGAUGAUGGGAUGUAUCACAGGAUAUAGGAUUAGAUGGUGGGAUAUAGGGAUACAUGAUUCUAUGAUGGGAUGUAUGACAGGAUAUUGGAUUAGAUGGUGGGAUAUAGGAUGGGAUACAUGAUUCUAUGAUGGGAUAUAUAACAGGAUAUUGGAUUAGAUGGUGGGAUAUAGGAUGGGAUACAUGGUUCUAUGAUGGGAUGUAUCACAGGAUAUUGGAUUAGAUGGUAGGAUAUAGGAUGGGAUACAUGAUUCUAUGAUGGGAUGUAUCACAGGAUAUUGGAUUAGAUGGUGGGAUAUAGGAUGGGAUACAUGGUUCUAUGAUGGGAUAUAUAACAGGAUAUUGGAUUAGAUGGUGGGAUAUAGGAUGGGAUACAUGGUUCUAUGAUGGGAUGUAUGACAGGCUAUUGGAUUAGAUGGUAGGAUGGACGGAUCAUAUGAUAGAUUCCAUAGGAGGUUCCAUGACUCCAUGACACCAUAGGAUCACUAUCCCCCCCGAUCCCGAUCCCAAGCAGCACUAGGGAUCAGAUCCCAGCUCCAGGAAACCCAUUGGAAGAGCUCAUUUGGGUUCAUUUCUGUCUCUUUGCCCUUUGCAGAGGAACGGGAUCUGAUCAUCUGUGAGUAUUCCCAGCUCCAUCCCACUGCUGUUCCUAGGGAUCAGCAA